UACAGAGGGUGCAAGCGUUAAUCGGAAUUACUGGGCGUAAAGCGAGCGUAGUCGGUUAUUUAAGUCGGGUGUGAAAGCCCCGGGCUCAACCUGGGAAUUGCAUUCGAUACUGGAUAGCUAGAGUUCGGCAGAGGGAAGCGGAAUUUCCGGUGUAGCGGUGAAAUGCGUAGAGAUCGGGAAGAACACCAGUGGCGAAAGCGCUCUGCUGGACCUGCACUGACACUGAGGGACGAAAGCUAGGGGAGCGAAUGGG
rnacentral:rRNA from 1 species